UACGUAGGGCGCAAGCGUUUGUCCGGAAUUAUUGGGCGUAAAGAGCUCGUAGGCGGCUUGUCACGUCGGGUGUGAAAGCCCGGGGCUUAACCCCGGGUCUGCAUUCGAUACGGGCUAGCUAGAGUGUGGUAGGGGAGAUCGGAAUUCCUGGUGUAGCGGUGAAAUGCGCAGAUAUCAGGAGGAACACCGGUGGCGAAGGCGGUUCUCUGGGCAUUACCUGACGCUGAGGAGCGAAAGCAUGGGGAGCGAACAGG
rnacentral:rRNA from 1 species